AUUGAACGCUGGCGGCAUGCCUUACACAUGCAAGUCGAACGGCAGCACGGGGGCAACCCUGGUGGCGAGUGGCGAACGGGUGAGUAAUAUAUCGGAACGUACCCUGGAGUGGGGGAUAACGUAGCGAAAGUUACGCUAAUACCGCAUACGAUCUAUGGAUGAAAGCGGGGGAUCGCAAGACCUCGCGCUCGUGGAGCGGCCGAUAUCUGAUUAGCUAGUUGGUGGGGUAAAGGCCCACCAAGGCUUCGAUCAGUAGCUGGUCUGAGAGGACGACCAGCCACACGGGAACUGAGACACGGUCCGGACUCCUACGGGAGGCAGCAGUGGGGAAUUUUGGACAAUGGGGGCAACCCUGAUCCAGCAAUGCCGCGUGAGUGAAGAAGGCCUUCGGGUUGUAAAGCUCUUUUGUCAGGGAAGAAACGGUCUUGGAUAAUACCUAGGGCUAAUGACGGUACCUGAAGAAUAAGCACCGGCUAACUACGUGCCAGCCGCCGCAGUAACAC
rnacentral:rRNA from 1 species